UCGGACUUUGAAUGUACCAUGUUCAUGUCUGUCCCCUUCGUGUUUGUGCGAAGUAAAACCUCCACAAAAGCUAAGUUACUGUCUCUGAGUCAUUAUUCAUUAUUUCUGUGUGUAAGAAACUGACGGGGUAACGAACCUAAAAAUAUUCCUAUUUUACAGUCCUUUCUAGAAAAUCCAGUUUCUUCACAUUUGGUCCUUCUGAGCCGGCCGGCGCGCGCCCUGGACAUCGCUGGAACCCCUGGGGGGGGUUGCCUGAAAACCGCUAGCGGUCUGAGAUCACAGCCUCAGCAUUGACCAAUCCGCCUUCAGGAUCGGCGGCCCUCGCCCUUGGGUCCGGUGGUGCCCCCGGUGACGUCGGACCCUCAUCAAAUAGCGACGUUCAUUGCUUGAAACUCUGCAUCCUGACCAGAAGGCCUCUGUCGGUGACCUGCUUUACCCUGAAGACCAUUUAACGGACUGAUUGGUCACACCCAGGUGGACAGGCCCCUACAAGGUUCUCCUCACCAUGCCACCUACAGUACACAUUGCUGAACGACCCUCCUGGAUUCACGUAAGCCACUGUAAAUUGCUGAGAGCCUAUGAGACUGACAUUUUGAGACGCAUCCCUGGUUGAAGUCCAACUACGAAGCCGCCGCAGUGUGACACUACUCUUGGCGAGGGGCGCUCCCUGGUGUGUUUCCUCUAGCGCUGCUCUCUUCCAGCUACAGUGAGCUUCGAACCAGCUAACAUGGGUCCAGCUGUUCCUCGUGGUUUCAUCUUGUACUUUUAUUCCCUCUUCUUCUGGAGAUCUCAUUCACAUCAUCAGCGAGGUCAAGGCCCUUAAAUCACAAAUUUCUUCUCAGAUGACUGACGCCUACUGGUCUGGGUCCCCACUUUAUUGGUUUACUUCUGGUGGAGUGUACUGAUAAAACUAGUCACUCCGGUCCUCUGUGUGUUGUUUUUCUUUUUUCUUUUCGUCACCUGUUUGAUUCCAUG